GACGAACGCUGGCGGCGUGCCUAAUACAUGCAAGUAGGACGCAGUUGCGAACGUGUGCGUAACGCGUAGGUAACUGCCUGUUGGUAGGGGAUAACUAUUGUAAACGAUAGCUAAUACCGCCUCCUCGUAGAUGGACCUGCGUUGUAUUAGCUAGUAGGUAGGGUAAUGGCCUACCUAGGCGACGAUACAUAGGCGACCUGAGGAGGAGGUCGACCACAACGGGACUGAGACAAGGGCCAGACUCCUACGGGAGGCAGCAGUAGGGAAUUUUCGGAAAUGGGGGGAACCCUGAACGAGCAACGGCGCGGGAGUGAAGAAGGGCUUCGGAUCGGAAAGGUCUGUUGUUAAGGAAGCGGUACUUAACGAGAAAGGGACGGCUAACUACGUGCCAGCAGCCGCGGUAAUUC
rnacentral:rRNA from 1 species